GGUAUGCAAACUCCCGCUCCGCAGUCACGCAGGAAGGAGAAACUUUCUUCGUCCAGGCUCGCCUCCUUUGGUUUUUUUUACGCCGCAAAAAUCUCCGGAAUCUCUGACCCGAGUGACGUCACUGUGCCUGAACUACACAGUUUGCGCUUCUUCGGGACAGCGUGCCAAGUUACAAAGCUCAGACCACCUCAAACUGCUUUCUUGGACAUUGGAAUGAAUCCACAGCCAAUCUCAGUCCACCAGAGCACCUUUGGGAUGUGCUGGAACAGGAGUUUCGCAUCCUGAUGUGCAGUCAACAAAUGGAACCAAAAUCUCUGGGGAAUGUUUCCAGCAACUUGUUGAAUCCAUGCCAAAAAAAAAAAAAAAGUUUAAUCUGAGGGCAAAAGCAAGGCUGAGUCCAACCCAGCCUUGCUUUUCUGGUGUCUGGUAAGUAAAUUUCCUGCAUGGAUUUCAUGGGGUAUGUCAAAGUUGAUCUUAAGUGGGCCAGACCAAAUUAAAUUCUAUUUUCUGUCAGCACAAAGAAGUUUAACCACACAUUAAAUCCUUAAGAUAUCAUUGUAUAAAAAAACCAAAAAAUACCCAAGUAUAAUUCCAACAGUACGUUUCAUUUUCUACAUGAUAAAGAAAUGUUGCUGUAACAUGCUGUCAGCAUGACUCUCAGGGCUUAAACUGUAAGAAAUAAAUAUGUAAUAAAUAAAAUUUCCUACUGAAAAAUGAUGGUAGCUUAUUGGCCAGGCUGUCCUACAAUACUAAAAUAAGGUUGUUUAUUUUAUUUUAUUUUUUUAAACUGUUGAGCCAAAAAGUUCUCAUAUUCUCUUAAUUUAAUGUUCAUCUAUUACUUCAUUACCUACUUAGGAUAGCAUGAAUGGCAUGGAGGAAAAGCUGUAAAACCUAUGAAAAUACACUGAGAAGCACAAAAUCCAUGUUCCCCUUCACAUUUUUCAGUGGGCCAGAUCGUCUUAAGCAGGCCGAUUUUGACCCCAGAGCUUUCUGUUUGACAAAAAUAACAACUUUUAAAAAGCUUUUUUUGAAACUUUCCUUUGAAGCUCACAUAUUUAGUACACAGUUAACCUUCAAGGACACCGCACAUUCAACAAACUGCAAACUAUUCAUCCCGAUAAUUGCUGUCAUCAGAAGAAUCUGAGGUACGAGAGUGAGAGUACAGAAACAACAGUGCAUUUAAGAAAUCACAACUGCUUUAUUUAUUUUCUCUCAAUAAGCUCUUUUUCUUUAACAAGGGAGAGUAAUGACCAAAUACCUGAAAGGAUAAAGGUCAGAGAGGAUAAAUAGAAUGCUGGAUCAGCUGUAGAAAGCACUGGUCCUCUGUGAAAAAACUGAAAUAUGCAUCUUAAAAGUAAAAAAAACCAAAAAAACCUCAAAAUGGGCAACAUUGCGGUGCAGGUACAAUGAUGAGAAGCGCCAAGAUCCUUCCCAGAAAGGGGUAAGAGGCCAAAAAAAACAACAACAA